GACGAACGCUGGCGGCGUGCUUAACACAUGCAAGUCGAACGCUGAAGCUCAGCUUUUGUUGGGUGGAUGAGUGGCGAACGGGUGAGUAACACGUGAGUAACCUGCCCCCUUCUUUGGGAUAACGCCCGGAAACGGGUGCUAAUACUGGAUAUUCACUGGUCUUCGCAUGGGGGUUGGUGGAAAGGGUUUUUCUGGUGGGAGAUGGGCUCGCGGCCUAUCAGCUUGUUGGUGGGGUGAUGGCCUACCAAGGCUUUGACGGGUAGCCGGCCUGAGAGGGUGACCGGUCACAUUGGGACUGAGAUACGGCCCAGACUCCUACGGGAGGCAGCAGUGGGGAAUAUUGCACAAUGGGCGCAAGCCUGAUGCAGCGACGCCGCGUGAGGGAUGGAGGCCUUCGGGUUGUGAACCUCUUUCGCUCAUGGUCAAGCCGCAACAAUGGUUGUGGUGAGGGUAGAGGGUAAAGAAGCGCCGGCUAACUACGUG
rnacentral:rRNA from 1 species